GACGAACGCUGGCGGCGUGCUUAACACAUGCAAGUCGAGCGAAGAGCGAUGGAAGCUUGCUUCUAUCAAUCUUAGUGGCGAACGGGUGAGUAACGCGUAAUCAACCUGCCCUUCAGAGGGGGACAACAGUUGGAAUCGACUGCUAAUACCGCAUACGAUCUAAUCUCGGCAUCGAGGAAAGAUGAAAGGUGGCCUCUAUUUAUAAGCUAUCACUGAAGGAGGGGAUUGCGUCUGAUUAGCUAGUUGGAGGGGUAACGGCCCACCAAGGCGAUGAUCAGUAGCCGGUCUGAGAGGAUGAACGGCCACAUUGGGACUGAGACACGGCCCAGACUCCUACGGGAGGCAGCAGUGGGGAAUCUUCCGCAAUGGACGAAAGUCUGACGGAGCAACGCCGCGUGAGUGAUGACGGCCUUCGGGUUGUAAAGCUCUGUUAAUCGGGACGAAAGGCCUUCUUGCGAACAGUUAGAAGGAUUGACGGUACCGGAAUAGAAAGCCACGGCUAACUACGUG
rnacentral:rRNA from 1 species